rnacentral:rRNA from 1 species
CAGCCGCCGCGGUAAUACGUAGGUGGCAAGCGUUGUCCGGAAUUAUUGGGUGUAAAGGGCUCGCAGGCGGUUUCUUAAGUCUGAUGUGAAAGCCCCCGGCUCAACCGGGGAGGGUCAUUGGAAACUGGGAAACUUGAGUGCAGAAGAGGAGAGUGGAAUUCCACGUGUAGCGGUGAAAUGCGUAGAGAUGUGGAGGAACACCAGUGGCGAAGGCGACUCUCUGGUCUGUAACUGACGCUGAGGAGCGAAAGCGUGGGGAGCGAACAGGAUUAGAUACCCAAGUAGUCCCUGUCUCUUAUAC